GCACGGCUCAAGAUAAUUUAAGACCUACCAGACAUAUCAUGCAAGUGCUCAUUUGUUCCCCCAUUUCAACUAGUUUUGAAAUUUCCACAUUCUAUUUUAAUAAUGUAUUGAACUUGCUACUUAACACAUUUCAAAGGCGCCCCGUGGCUGCCGAGUGGUUAAGGUCAGGAGCAGGAGCCUCGUUACCGCCUAAAAAGAGUUACCCUCGAGGCCGGAAAUUCCGAUCUGCACCUGCAACCAGUAAAAGAAUCUUAUAUUCUAACCAAUUGUAUGCCCAUUCCUGAAAUAAUUCCCUCAGGGACACCUGGGGCAUCCUAUACCAACCAUGAAAAGCAUGAAUUAUGUCACUGUGACCUAAGAGUAGCCUUUACAAAGAAACAUACAUUUUAUAUUUCAGAUUAUCUACAUCGCUAGAAAUCCCAAAGAUAUAGCAAUAGCAUUCUACAGAUUGAUGAAAUGGGCAGGAGGCCUGGAUGAAAGCAAUACCGAUAACACUUUUUAAAAGUUUGUUGAUGCAUUUGUCAGUGGGACUGGUAAACUCAAACAUUCGUUGUCAUAUUGACAAAAUCAUUGGUCUUAUCUUUUAUAUCAUUAUCUUGUAUCUUGGUUUGCUGUUUUGCUUGAAUGUUCUGUGUAAAUUGCGUUCGUUUUUAUAGUUUUGUAGCAUAAUAGAUGGAAAUAAGUUCAUUAAAUGUUACUAAGAGAAACAUGAUUAUCAUCUGAGGUAGGCCUUUCAUAUAACAAGCUAACACAAAAUAAAAGCCUUCUGUAUCUUUGCUAUAUAAAAUACACAAUUCAGGGUUCCUCUACGCACGUGUAGAGACCAUAAACAUAUUUUUUCGGCAAUAUAUGACCAUUAUGUGUCGAUUCGCCGUAAAACCCAACUCACUCACUCAUGUACUUUCUCUUUGGGAAAAUAUAUCUAAAAAUUAACGAAGAAAAAUAAACAACGAAACAAAAGCCUUUACAAAAGCAAGUUAUUGAUACAGAGGCACAUAUCGACUUUUCUUUGAACAUCAAACGUCUGUCUUAGAGCUUGAUAACCAUCUCAGUGUUUACAUUAUAUAUUUUAACAGAACAAGCCGCUCUAAAUGAAAAUGUGCAAAAUCUCUAUUAAUAUGGCAAUAGUUUUCUUACAGAGUCAUUGACCCUGUUUCAUAGGGGCGUUCGUGUAAAUUAGAACAGGAAAAAUGCUAGAAACACAACAGUCACACAAUAUUCUAAAGAGAAAGUGUCAUUUCACUGUUAUGAAAUGGUCAAUAUAUUUCAUGGAUUAUACACUCCAUAAGUGUUUUAUAAAGUAUGAGAAAAAUAAUAAUUACAGAUGUUCAGUUUGAUAAUUUUCACGAGUAAAGAUAUAUAUUCUUGAAAACGUAUAUUUGUAAGGGAAAUGUAUAUUUUUGUGUUAUAACAUCUGACAUAAAACGUGUAGGAAGCUAAAUUGAAUUAAUAGUAUGCUGUUACCGUUGAUUGUUUCUCAAGCUUGUUUUAAUUUACGAUACUUUUCCGUUUUAAUAUGGUAACGGUAUUUUAAUUUUACAGGACACAACUGUCCCUGGCCACGUCAUGUUUUGGAGUUCUGGGAAAAGCGGAAUGAUAAAAUGUUCUGUUUGUCAAGUACGAGGAAGUUGUUCGACAAUAUAAAAAAAAUAACGCAGUUUCGUUCCAAAAGCUGUCAGACGGAUAGCAGAAUUCCUUGGCAGAACGCUGACAGACGAUGACGUCGCGAAAAUAUGUGACUACUGUUCUGUGGACAAGAUGAAAAAUAAUCCAAUGUGUAAUAUGUCCUACUGGAGAGAUUAUAAGAAAGUGAAUGAUAAUGCAGACGGUGGUUUUAUUAAUCAAGGAAAGGCGGGGGCAUGGAAAAGUUUAUUGACGCCAGAGAUUGCAAAGAAAAUUGAAAAACCUCUAGACGAAAUCCAAGGUUCUGGACCUAACUUUGGAUGACGAAUAGGUGUUAACUUCUGUUCGGGAAUAUAAAUAUUCAUUAUAGUUAUUCAUUUCAACAUAGUGUGAUUAUUUGAUUCCAAGUGUAGGAAUGAUGUAUGAUGGCACAGUGUUUAUACAAACAGUCAGCAUACAACCUUGCUGAAUUGAAAGAUAAAUAUGUUGAGGCACAGUUCUAUGGAUAGAAUCGCAUGACAGUGGUUUUGUAAAAAAAAGUCUAUAUGUGAAAGUACGUGUAUGCGGAAGUUAAGCUAUUAUAGUAUCGUUUUUCAAUAUAUCGCUGUAUGCGUAGAAACCAGUCUCAUCUCAAUGUCACAGUUAACUAAACUGCUCAGUAAGUUAAAUACGUGCACUCCCAGCACAUUUUAAAACCAGUCUUGCAGAUACAGUCUUCAGUUUUGCGCAUCUUGUUAUAACAUUCAAUGCUUAGCUAUUUUUAAUUCCAAAUUUUAGGUCAUAUCUACCGAAAUGUCAACAAGAAUUGUAAACUUCUUUUGAAAUUUAAGACGGGGAAAACGUUACAUUACCUCUUGUUAAUAAAGUGAAGAUAUGAACUCAAAUGAGAUAUGAAAUGAUUUCUGCGUAAUCGUUUUUCAUGUUAUAGUAUUUGCCCUGCAAACAUUGGUCAAAAUAGCAUUAGGUCCAAAUGACGGGGACGGAAAAGCUGGUCCGAAUUGGGUUGAAGUAAAUUUUCCUGCAUAUAAGUAUGUGAAACAAAAGUUAUUGAUAUAAGAGCUAAGCGUAUUUUUGUUCGGAACUCAGCUCAGACUGGAAUAACAGGGUUUAAUUUUUGAAGCAAGGUUCUUACAAAGCAUUCGCCGUGUAUAGCUUCCAUGCCGAAAGAGAGGCCACAUAAGUAAUAAUACAUGUACCUCUUCUAGGCGGUUUGGUGCAGCUUUUACCACACGACUGUAACAUUUCUACUGUUGUAACCUACUUUGCAUAAUUCGGACUGCUCUGCAGUCGUUAUACAGCUCUUAAGUGAAAUCUACAAUAAUUACAAAAUCAAUGUUUUUGAAUAAAAUCUACGGGUGUAAAUUUGAAAUUAUCAUGAAUGUGAUUUAAACAAAAAUACAGGUCUUUAUCAGCUGUAAAAUUGUAUACAUGAUAAAAGCGGAAGUGGCACGUUGAAUGUGGAAUAAAAUCCCAAAGGAGGUGUACAGUACGUGGAGACAUUUUGCAACCACCACACUGCACAAACAAUGACAUUGUAAGCAUAAAAACAAGGACAACUGAGAAAUUAUCUUUUAGAACAAACAUAGCUUCAGGCCAAAGCAUAGAUAUGAAACACAACACACAAAUUUCAAACAAGAUGUAUUCAAAAGUUUAAUUUAAUAAGUGUAUAGCAUUGAAUUCGAAUUCCUUUCAGUCAUGUAAAGUUCUCCCUGUGACACUGCUGAUUGAUAACUACAAUAAAUAAAAGCUGCUGCAUAAUUGUACGUAAUAACUCUUUUACUCUAUUUGUUACUUAUAAAAAUAACUACAAAGUUCAAAAGUGGACUUUUUCAGUAUUAUUAUAUUCCUGUGUUACAAGAAUCAAAAACGCAACAUAAAUCUGAAAUAUCUCUAAACCUGUAAGGAAUUGUGUAAGAUAAAUAUCUACAUGUAUUUGUCGAAAUGGGGAAGAUCUGUUUUCUUUUCCGUAAUUGCUCCGGUAGCAGUAAGCCUUAAUUUUUCGAGGAGA